rnacentral:rRNA from 1 species
GAUGAACGCUGGCGGCGUGCCUAAUACAUGCAAGUCGAGCGAACGGACGAGAAGCUUGCUUCUCUGAUGUUAGCGGCGGACGGGUGAGUAACACGUGGAUAACCUACCUAUAAGACUGGGAUAACUUCGGGAAACCGGAGCUAAUACCGGAUAAUAUUUUGAACCGCAUGGUUCAAAAGUGAAAGACGGUCUUGCUGUCACUUAUAGAUGGAUCCGCGCUGCAUUAGCUAGUUGGUAAGGUAACGGCUUACCAAGGCAACGAUGCAUAGCCGACCUGAGAGGGUGAACGGCCACACUGGAACUGAGAACCGGGCCAGACUCCUAAGGGAGGCAGCAGUAGGGAAUCUUCCGCAAUGGGCGAAAGCCUGAAGGAGCAACGCCGCGUGAGUGAUAGAGGUCUUCGGAUCGUAAAACUCUGUUAUUAGGGAAGAACAUAUGUGUAAGUAACUGUGCACAUCUUGACGGUACCUAAACAGAAAGCCACGGCUAACUACGUG